UCCCGUGAAGAGGUGGGAAUAAUUUAAUAAGACAAGAAGAUCCUACGGAGCUUUAACUAACUAAUUCACGAAGAACAAAAUUUCAACCUACAUUCAAGGGAUAACAAAACUAUCUGAACUGCCAAUUUUGGCUGGGGUGACCUCAGAGAAUAAAAUAACCUCUGAGUGAUUAAAAUUCAGACCAACUAGUUAAAAUAUGACAAUCACUUAUUGAUCCAAGCUAUUGAUCAACGGAGCAAGUUACCUUAGGGAUAACAGUGCAAUCCUAUUUUAGAGUUCAUCUCGACAAUAGGGUUCACAACCUCAAGGUUGGAUCAGGACAUUCUAAUAGUAUCACCGCUAUUAAUGGUUCAUUGGUUCAACGGUUAAAGUCCUAUGUGAUCUGAGUUCAAACUGGAGUAAUCUAGGUCGGCUUCUACCUAUUUU
rnacentral:ncRNA from 1 species